CCCUUGCAUGUUGCCAGCACUGCGUUGGGUUCUUUCUUUGACACACAAAUACCAAGUCUUUCAAUUGUUUGCAGGAGCUACAAACAAUUCUUGCAAAGCCAUGUUGAAAGAGAUGACUUUGAGAGUGUAAUUGCUACUUUGUUUGUGUUCUGCCCCAAGUGUUUCAGUGAGUUUAAUAGUACCUGAUAGUCGGAGGGGUUUGUCCACGGGUGUCUUAAGGCCAGUGUCUGAGGGAAGUCGACGGCAGCUGUAUGGACGGCACAAGCUCAGCUGAUCUCCGCACCCAGCAUUGUCCCACCCACACAACCAUCUGACUGGAUACAACCAAAGCGGUAACAGCCAAUCAGCAGUGCGUAUUCAGAGCAGUAACAACCAAUCAGCAGUGCGUAUUCAGAGCGCAUGUAGUCAGCGUCGAGCAUUUAUGUGUUUAGCAGGAGGUAGCGGCUUGUCCAGGGUGUACACCGCCUUCCGAAUGGAUGCAGCUGAGGUAGGCUCCAGCACCCCCCGUGACCCCGAAAGGGACAAGCGACCGCUAACAGCCAAGGACUUCAAGGACCUUAACGGAGAUAAGACGACAGCACGCAGACGAAGCAGAGACAAGGCGAAAUCACAAGGCCCCAGCACAUUCCGUCAUAUAUUGUGCAUCCUGGACCUGCUUUGCAUGAUACAUGUGACAUCUCCUUGUAGAGGCGGCCUCAGUGAUGUUGACUAUGGAACUCCUGAAUAAAUAGAGGGACGCGGGAGCUGAACCUUAGAGCAUAUGGCGAGACUGUUACUAGUGUGCAGCUCCAUGCGUUCUCCUCAUGAGCUAAAUUGAACUCUGUCUCUGCAUGGUUCCUUGCUUCUUGUCUGCUGUGACAGGUUUGUGUUGUGGGGUCUUCAGGACCGAAGGAUCACAGCAGGAGUUCAAGUUGACAAUUCUUUUUAAUCUUUUUACACACAAGAUUUCUUCUUUUGUUUGUUCCCAAAAGGAUUUUCUUUUCAUUUUUAAUUUUCACAACAGUUCAUCUGCUUCGUUUACUCCCCAAGUCUUUUCAGUCUUAGUUCGUUCACUCACAAAGUUUUUAACUCGCUCAGUC